CCCUUAGAUGUUCUGGGCCGCACGCGCGCUACACUGAUGAACGCAACGAGACGACCUGUACCGAAAGGCAUGGGUAAACUUGUGAAAGUUCAUCGUGAUGGGGAUAGAUUAUUGCAAUUAUUAAUCUUCAACGAGGAAUUCCUAGUAAGCGCGAGUCAUCAGCUCGCGUUGAUUACGUCCCUGCCCUUUGUACACACCGCCCGUCGCUCCUACCGAUUGAAUGGUCCGGUGAAAUCUUCGGAUUGCUGGAUAGGAGGGCAACCACCUAUCUGCGAGAAGUUGCUAGAACCUUAUCAUUUAGAGGAAGGAGAAGUCGUAACA
rnacentral:rRNA from 1 species